ACGCUGGCUACAGGCUUAACACAUGCAAGUCGAGGGGAAACGACGGAGAAGCUUGCUUCCUUGGGCGUCGACCGGCGCACGGGUGAGUAACGCGUAUCCAACCUGCCUCUGACUGAGGGAUAACCCGUCGAAAGUCGGCCUAAUACCUCAUGGUAUCGUCUGCGGGCAUCCAAUGACGAUUAAAGAUUUCAUCGGUCAGGGAUGGGGAUGCGUCUGAUUAGCUUGUUGGCGGGGUAACGGCCCACCAAGGCGACGAUCAGUAGGGGUUCUGAGAGGAAGGUCCCCCACAUUGGAACUGAGACACGGUCCAAACUCCUACGGGAGGCAGCAGUGAGGAAUAUUGGUCAAUGGGCGAGAGCCUGAACCAGCCAAGUAGCGUGCAGGAUGACGGCCCUAUGGGUUGUAAACUGCUUUUAUGCGGGGAUAAAGUGAGGGACGUGUCCUUCAUUGCAGGUACCGCAUGAAUAAGGACCGGCUAAUUCCGUGCCAGCAGCCGCGGUAAUACGGAAGGUCCGGGCGUUAUCCGGAUUUAUUGGGUUUAAAGGGAGCGUAGGCCGUGGAUUAAGCGUGUUGUGAAAUGCAGGUGCUCAACGUCUACACUGCAGCGCGAACUGGUCCACUAGAGUGUGCACAACGCAGGCGGAAUUCGUCGUGUAGCGGUGAAAUGCUUAGAUAUGACGAAGAACUCCGAUUGCGAAGGCAGCUUGCGGGAGCACAACUGACGCUGAAGCUCGAAAGUGCGGGUAUCGAACAGGAUUAGAUACCCUGGUAGUCCGCACGGUAAACGAUGGAUGCCCGUUGUCAGGCUGUUUCAGCCUGGUGACCAAGCGAAAGCAUUAAGCAUCCCACCUGGGGAGUACGCCGGCAACGGUGAAACUCAAGGAAUUGACGGGGGCCCGCA
rnacentral:rRNA from 1 species